rnacentral:rRNA from 1 species
AACGAACGCUGGCGGCAGGCUUAACACACGCAAGUCGAACGCCCGUAGCAAUACGGGAGUGGCGGACGGGUGAGUAACGCGUGGGAACGUGCCCUGAGGUACGGAAUAACUGCGGGAAACUGCAGCUAAUACCGUAUGAGCCCCGCAAGGGGGAAAGAUUUAUCGCCUUAGGAGCGGCCCGCGUCGGAUUAGCUAGUUGGUGGGGUAACGGCUUACCAAGGCUUCGAUCCGUAGCUGGACUGAGAGGACGAUCAGCCACACUGGGACUGAGACACGGCCCAGACUCCUACGGGAGGCAGCAGUGGGGAAUCUUGCGCAAUGGGGGCAACCCUGACGCAGCCAUGCCGCGUGAAUGAUGAAGGCCUUAGGGUUGUAAAGUUCUUUUGCCCGUGACGAUGAUGACGGUAACGGGAGAAUAAGCUCCGGCUAACUUCGUGCCAGCCGCCGCCGUAAGAC